GGAUUCUUAACUCUUUGGGUGGUUUAUGGAUUACCAAACAGCAGUUUGCAGCCAGUCUUCAGGAUUAUGUUGGGAACUUCAAAUAUAAUUAUGGCAUGGGUUGUAGAAUCGUUGUUUUUAAAGUGUGGAGAAACGCCAGAAUACCCUGUGCAUAUUUUAAUCAUUCUAAAAUUAUUGCAUAUUACUUUAGUUCUGUUUUAUUAUUGGUUUAACAAGGUUAACACACUCUAUCGGUUCGCAGUGUAUAUUUACCUCUUUUUCAUCGGAGGAACGGUGUUACAAAUUUCACCUGACUGGAUUUUCAAC
rnacentral:lncRNA from 1 species